ensembl:lncRNA
GUCAUCGUUGCGGUGAGGGCACGUCUCCAGUGAGCGAGGGCUACGUCUUAGUCUGGUGCUCAGUCUUCUCACUGCAGAGGCUUCUCUUGUUGGGGACUGCAGGCACUAGCCCAUUGGCUGUUGUUGUGGUGCAAGGGCUUAGCUGUCCCUCAACAUGCAAGAUUUUCUCGGAUCAGAGAUGGAACACUUGUCUCCUGCAUUGGCGGAUUCUUUACUGAGCCACCGGGGAAGCCUGAACAUCAUUUACGUAUAAUCAUAUCAUUUUGGGGUCUGACCAGAGUGAGCUUUGUGUUCUGUAUUUGUGGUUUUUAUAUAUGUCGCGGUGUCUACUGACGGAGAUACAUCACUUAGAAGAGAACACUGCUGAAAAGUUACCAGCCUGCAAUGGAAAUAAAAGAGGUGGGAAGAUGGGACAGAAUGCAAACAAAUUAAUCAGUCACUGAGAAGCCUGGGAUUCAUGUUUAAAUCGCUUAGAGAUUGUGUCACACCCAAGUAAGAACACAGCGCGCGUCAUUGUUCUGCUGCCCUGUGCGUGUUUUUGCAGACUGCCCUGCUGCUGCCUGUCCCCCAGUUUUCUCACCGCUCACAGGUGGCACACCUUUCCUGUGUUGCUUGCCUUCCCCGUUUUUCCACAGAGUGGAGCUGUAACUGCACCGAGAUGAGGCCAACAAAAUUCCAGAGAUCAAAUGAUAAUGAAAACGACCACAAGUGUCUGUUUAUCUAUUGACAGGCCAGGGGAAAUAACUCAUCAGGUUUCGUUUGAAGAUCUCAGGGUGUGGAAAUCAGACUUUUAGAUCUUAAUCCAGCGAGAAUGAAAGACGAACCACCUCUCAUGUCUGCUCAUGACAAGUCAUUUCUUUACUCUGGGUACGAAUCUCAUCCUCAGUGGUCUGAAAUAUUCCUUUCAAAGAGAUAAGUUGUUUGUUUUUCAGAUGACGGCACCUCACAGGUGUGCUCAGCCUGGCAGGACGAUAGCAUCUGGUAUGUGGAAAAGAAGAUCCUUUUUUGUGUGUUAUUCAGUGAGUUGGCAAAUACUUAUUGAUGCACAGUUUCUGCCAAGAGGUGUUCUUAGUGUUCCCGAGGGUAGAGCAGAGAACUGAACAGUUUGUGAGCCCUUGAUGUCUUCAAUUAUGACAGCUAUUUUGGAUGAUGAGACAACCAACCCAAGGACAGAAAGCCAACCCACUGAGGAUUGUGAAGAGGAAAGAUGACGAGUCUAGGUGCUUAAAAACAUCUUUAAGUGGUCAUGUACGGAUGUGAGAGUUGGACUGUGAAGAAAGCUGAGCGCCGAAGAAUUGAUGCUUUUGAACUGUGGUGUUGGAGAAGACUCUUGAGAGUCCCCUGGACUGCAAGGAGAUCCAACCAGUCUAUCCUAAAGGAGAUCAGUCCUGGGUGUUCAUUGGAAGGACUGAUGUUGAAGCUGAAACUCCA